rnacentral:rRNA from 1 species
AUUGAACGCUGGCGGCAUGCUUUACACAUGCAAGUCGAACGGUAACAGGUUAAGCUGACGAGUGGCGAACGGGUGAGUAAUGCAUCGGAACGUGCCCAGUCGUGGGGGAUAACGCAGCGAAAGCUGUGCUAAUACCGCAUACGAUCUAUGGAUGGAAGCGGGGGACCGUAAGGCCUCGCGCGAUUGGAGCGGCCGAUGUCAGAUUAGCUAGUUGGUGGGUAAAGGCCCACCAAGGCGACGAUCUGUAGCUGGUCUGAGAGGACGACCAGCCACACUGGAACUGAGACACGGUCCAGACUCCUACGGGAGGCAGCAGUGGGGAAUUUUGGACAAUGGGCGCGAGCCUGAUCCAGCAAUGCCGCGUGCAGGAGAA